UCAAGUAUUAAUUCAAUUCUUAUUGUGCAUGGAAGGGAUUUUUAUUUAUUUCCUUCUAAUUUUCUGUCUUGAAUACUUAUGGAACUAAUUGUCUGUUUUGAUAGUACAGCUACUCUUGAUGGUAUCUGAGUUUGAUUAUUAAAUGGUACGUAAUUAUUGGACAUGGGUUAAAUUUUUGUAACUAGUAUAUGUUCAUCUGUUUUAAGCUGAGUUUUUGAGUUGCAUGUACAUAGGUAUCACCAUGCUUUGUGACACAUGUUUGACUAAUCAAAAAAGAACAAAGAGAAGGAUAAAUGUAAGGUUGGAAAGGUUGACAACUCAAUUGUGUCUUCGUGUCCUAGAAUUUAAGUUAAUAAAUAUGACUGGUAGACUCCUACGGUGCACCAAUUUGUCCAAUAUCUCAAACAUGCCAAUUCAUGUUGUUUAACAUGGAUCUCUCCUUUUUUUCUUUUUCUGGCUUAUUCCUAAACUAUCUAGUAUACUUGUGAAUUUAAUUGUCUGAUUCUUGAUAAUACAACUAAUCUCUCCUGUUGAUUCCUGAAUUUAAUUUUUAAAUGGGAUAUUUGGGAGUAUACCGCAUUAUGUGACGAUGACCACGAGUUUCCUGUGCUAUCUUUUGGGCUUGUAGAUAAGCUGGAUGAAUUAUUUCCUUCAUUUGACUUGUGUGUUGAACCAAAGCUUAAUCUGUUUUCUGUGUCUGAACUGCAUGAAAGCCGAGAGCCAAGACUCAUCUCAUCAGGAUGCAUGCGAUCGGUGCUUGGCCUGCUGGAGCUUACAAAUGAUAUAUCACUAUCCGGCGGCAGGAGCUCUCCAUAUGAUCUGUUUGAAGCUUUUCCUCUGGUAAAUGGAGACCUGCAACAAAGGUUUUCAAGUCGGUGUCUCGUUGUGUGAUUUUGACCAUAUUGUUUACAGCAAAUCAACAGUGAAUUUACCUGUUCAUUUAUACUCGUCGUGUUUUCUGCAUGAUGUUAUAUUAUAAGCAACCAGCAAGCACCAUUUAUUAUUCUCUUUAAGAUUCACAGGCUUUUUUAAAACUCAGUUGGAUGAUUAAAAGUAAAACAAUCUAAGCACUCUCCAAUGAGGCAAAAGCAUUAUGGUAGAGUAAAGCAUAUGUCUAUUUUUCCCUCGUCAUAAAUUGACUCCUCAAGAAGGAGACAUUCAUAAUGAAGUCUAGUAUCGUAGUGCGUCAUGUAAAUUUGCAUUGCUCGUACAACUAUAGUGCUGUGUCAUUCACAUUCAUUACAUGAGACAUGCCUAUAGUUACUAGUGCAAUGAUUAAUAUUUGUAAUAUAAAUUCUCUAAAUAAAGAUAUUACUAAUAAUGAGACAUCUCACACUAUGCGAAGAAACUAAGGAAAGAGGAGCCAAUCAUCAAAAAACAUAAACAGUAGGAUUAGAGAUGUGAUAACGAGGAAAAGGAGACCUUGUAUUAACACGGUGUUUAGAGUAUUUGCUUAGACAUAAAAUUUUACCUUGACUCUGCUACAUGAUCAUCACAAUAUAAGAAAUAUUACAUGUUAUAACCUUCCCUAUAAUUAAUAUAUCUAUAUGUAUUAAAAACUUACUUGAUCUCUACGUCAUCUGUGAAGUGGCGAGGUGCAAAUGGAAUCUUCUCAGAUGCUGAAAUGGGAUGAGAUAAUUUUUUGUGAGUAGUGACAAAAGCUAGAUAGAUAGAGGGAAGUAGCAUGAGGCUAGGAUGGAGUCAGACCUCGUGCAUUGUUGCCUUGCAUGAAUCGUGCAUCCAUAUGAUUCUGAAUGGCACUGCUUUGGGGUUGCAAUUGCAUACGAGGGGCUUGGUUUGGGACUGAAGCAGAGGCAGACCGUAGAGAUGAAAUUUUCCCUUUAGAGAUGAUAUAUAUGGUGCAGAACUCUGGAGCCCCUUUUGUAACACUGCUAGGAACAUCUAGAGCUUUGAAUUUACUGAGACAAGGGAUUUGUAAGUAGUCUGAUCUUUUGUUUAUUUGUGCAGGCAACAAUUCUGAAUUUACUGUGUGUUCAACUUGUCAAGAAGAAAUUACUAUUUUUACAUACAGUGGUUUAAUUACUCUAUAGAUGUGAAUUUUGGUAGGAAAACUAGAUGCCUCCUUUAUUUACAAUAAUCUUUUGAAAAACUUUCAGAAUGGCUGCAUAUCUUUAGUUGGUGUAGGAUUUCAAAACUGCUUGAAAUAGAAAGAAUACUCAAAAUCUGACGUAUUUAUUCCAAAUUGAAUGAAAUACCUUUUACUACAUGUUAAUUUAGAGUUUUUUCAUACGAGUGCAUGUGUGUGUGUGUAUGGGUUUUUGUUAAAAGUAAAAGUCGUAGGUAAAUAAAUGCUUUUAAGCGAGCUGAGCUGCAAAGCUACCCAGAACACACUAGGAGUUGUUUUUAAGUUCCCUUAUUGCAUUAUUUAUUUAUUUGUGUAAUAAGUAGAAAUUGCAUGUAAACAGAAAACAUGUAAAUUACCCAACAAGACCCCUUGAUGGGGAACCAAGCACCAGAUUCUGAAUCAAGUUGGCGUUAACAUAGUCACAAAUGGCUUUUGAAACAUCUGUAUCCUCGACUAUGACUUCACUAACUUUUAUCUGUACGUUCAUGAAGGGGNNNNNNNNNNNNNNNNNNNNNNNNNNNNNNNNNNNNNNNNNNNNNNNNNNNNNNNNNNNNNNNNNNNNNNNNNNNNNNNNNNNNNNNNNNNNNNNNNNNNCAGAUUUUGGCAGGUGGUAAAAUGAAGAAUUGGAGCAAGCAAGAAGAAGGACUUACAUCUUUACGCGUGCAAAAGCAACGGAAGGGAAGGAAAAACUCCUUAUCAGCCUGGCUGUUUGUUGCUGCAACAGAAAAAAAGAACAUUUCAAGGAUGAAUUCCCCUCAAACUUUUGAGAUUAAUGUAGCCUACGACAUAGUAAGUGAUUUUCAUUAUAUAUCAAACACAAAGUAUGCUUCUGUCAAUUUAAUAGUCAAUUUGAGAUAUUUUUAGAUGUGAUUCAUUUAAUUUUUGAAAACGUAGUAAUAGUAGUAGUAGUAGUAGUAGUUUUUGGAUAUUUCACAAAUUUCAUAAUUAUGUUGUCUAAAAACUAAAUGAAUUCAUGUCAAUGUUGAGUUUAAAAAAAAUCUCAAAUUGACUAUAGAAAGUCCAAAUUCAACCUAUAUUUUGGAACAGAAUAGUAAAUAAUAUGGAUUCCAUGCAUCCAUAAAUAAUUGGUCCCAUUUUGGUUUUAGAAACAAGAUUAUUAUUAUUAUUUCCUUCUCCUGUUUGUGGAAUUUGUGUUGUCCUGGGUUUCUGAAUGAUGACAUGCAUGUAGAGAACAACAAUAAACAGGAGUUGUGGUGCAAAUUGACACUAUAUUACCCAUUACAUAUUAAUUCAUUUAUUUUCAUCAAUAAAAAAAAAUUGUUUUGCUUUUAUUUACAUUACAUGAAUCAAUGGGUACUGUGAUUGGGGAAUGAAUAUGCAUAUAUUAUAUAUAUAUAUAUAUAUAUAUACACACACACACACAUUAAAUUAAGUGUGAUAGAUAGAUAUAUAGGUAGAUACCUGGGGUUGGGGCUGGGGCAGAAGAUGGUUUUUGUUUGACAUGGAGGAGGGUGACACUUUUGACCUUCCCAAGAAGAUUAUCAACAGCCCAUUUCAGAGCAUAUUGGCUUCCUUUAUCCUUGUCUAUUGCCACUGUUGCCAUUUCUACAUUAUUAUUAAUCCCUUUUUGGUUAGAAGACAUGUUUUUUUUAAAUUAAAAAUAAUAUAUUUAUAUUCCGCAGGAGGAGCAGCAAUUGAUCUGUCUUUUUCUUUCAAAAAAAGAAAAGAAAGAUAAAAUAAACAAUGCAGCCAGCCGAAUCCUCCCCUUCCUUCCUUCAGUUAAUAUUUUGUUCCUGAUUGUUUGGGUCCUCAAGAAGGGAGGAUCGAGGAGGAGGUCCCAAACUCUCUCUUCUUCUUUUUUUUUUUUUAAAAAUUUAAUUUACAAUGUAUUCUCUCUAAACCUUUGAGAGGCUCUAAAUAAACCACCCCCCUAUAAUAUAGCUUUAAUCUCCUUCAAGUUCGUUGGUUAAAAAUUUAGCUCUCUCCCAAAAUUGAAUUUUUAUUGGUCCUACUCCUACUCCUACCCAAACUCACUAAGUAUAUGAUUCAGGUUACAUUUUGUGUCUCUCAUCUUUUAAUUUCAUCUCUUUUCUCUCUUUUUUUUAUUGCAAAUUAAACAAUAAACAUAUACUAGUACUUGCAUCAUUGAUUAUACUUUUAUUUAUUGAUAGUAAGCCUGUUAUUUUACAUUUAAAAUAAAUAAAAGUUUAUUGAUAUUAUUAAGAGGGGCUUGGAAAUUGGACUUCUGAUUUUUAAUAUUUUCCAACUUUUUUACUCCAGAUUUUCUGAUAUUUCUUCUCCCACUCCUAUUAUAAUAAUAAUAAUAAAAAAAUUGUGUAAUAUAAAAAACGAAACAAAUAUAAAUGUAGUCGUUGAAAUUUGGUGGACCAAAAUACCCUCUAAAGAAGUCUUUAUAUAGCUAAGGAGGGGUGUUUAGAGAGGAGGGUAUUUCAAUAACUAUAUUUAAAAGAAAGAAAAAGCCUAAUUUUUCAAGCCCCAUUCAAGAUGACUGUGUAAGAGCAUUUUCAACGGUAGCAGCAAAAAAAACUCUUUAAAUUAAAGUUUGUUGACCUUGAAGAGUAUUAUUUGUUAUUUUCAUAUUUUGUCUCUUCAAUUUAAUGUGUUGUACAUCAAACUCAUCAAGCAAAAUAAAUAUUUUUAGUUUUCAUAAAUGUCUUGAAGGGAGAGAAUGAAGUUGCAGAUUUGACGAUUAAGGAUGAAGAGUUGUUGGAAAUAAUUUUUCUGACGUGGCUCAUCUAUUUGAGUCCCAAAGUAGUUGAAGAGGCUAUUGGACAGAAAGAAGAGCAUAUUUUUUCAAGUUGGGUGAGGCUGGGCUUUGGAGCUCAAGCCUUUUGUGCACAUUUGAAUUUUUGAACCAAAUGGUGAAAUGCAGUACUAGUUCAUUGGCUCUUGCCUAGUCCUGUGUUCAUGGCUAAAAGAACAUGUCGUAAUUGAUAAAUGAAAGCCGAGCAUACAGUAUGAAGACUGCCGGAACCUGUACGUCAGGAUAGAACCUCAAUUAAAGAAUUAAGCUUAGGGUCCUAAAUUUUGAUACCAUAUUGCAUUUUGAUCGACUAUAUAUAUCAUUCAUGUGUGAAUUAAUACGUGUAUUAAAUUAAUUAACAAACAGAAAUAUGGGACAUGAAUAUUGGACUGGACAGAAGUGUAUUUAACUUUCAUCUAUUUAUGUUUUGACCCCCAAUACACCUCCUGUCCCAUAACUAGUAUCGAAUAUCUAUAAUGUAAAAUAGUAGUAUUAAAUAAAAAAGAGACAAAUGUAUGUUUUUGGAUAUGGCACACAUAUUCUGGUUAUUAUUUAGCAACGAGAAAACUUGGAAGGUU
rnacentral:lncRNA from 1 species